ensembl:lncRNA
CGUCCUGUAGACCCACAUACACAAACGUGAGCCUCAGGGGAAAACACCUGAAUGCCACGAUGGGAUGUGAGCAAUAACAGUAAGGAUAACAAAAAUGCAAUUUGGGGAUUCGGAGGAUUUAGUGGCUGGAGAAUGGGCUGAGAUGCAUAAAAAGAAGCAUGGCUCUGUAUUGCAUCUCAGCACCGCUUUGUUGAAUAAUGAGGUUUGAAAGGCUGCGAGAGGCACUCACCGGAGCACUGAUGUUCAUUAAGAUAAAAUCAAAGACAGCCUCCUGCUUUCGGUUUUCCAGAAGGACUCCUUCCAUAGCAAGCUUUGGGGACAUCACUACAUUCUGCGCAUUCAUGGCAAACACAGACUUCUUUCUCAUGGGAAGAAAUGAAGGAGGAUUUUCCCCUGAUGAAAAAGAGUUGAAAUUGCUUUGAUGUCCCCAGGUGCUGCAGAUACCUCUGCUGCUAUCAGACCGUGAAUCCUAGAGGAAUGCUAUCAAACAUGGCAGGGAGUGCACAGCCUUCUGUAGUGGUAAUGAGCAGCUGCGUGCACCUGCAACCCUGGGGUUCAUGCCUGGAGCUUUGCAAACGGGAAGGAUCAGAAAUGUUACGAGAGAUGAGUUUGGUAGGAGCCCAAGUGCGUGGCCAUGAACGCUGGGCACAUGUUUGGAAGAAGACCAAUGGGUUGCGUUGGUUUUGCACUGUGGGAUGCUCACAUGUGAGCAGAGGAUGGGGCUCCCCCAGCCUGGAUGGCUGCCUACAGCAAAGUUAAUCAUGCAUUUACCCUCCAGAGGUGAAACUCUGAUUUUACUAUGAGCUGGAUACCCAACUGCCCACCCUGGGCACAGGGGACAGCUUCCAUCCAUUUGGUUUAAUUUCAGCAUAACUUUUCCAGCUUCUCCCUCAAGGCCAAUAAAAUUCCC